GCUGGUGCCAGAUGCACUGUCUGAGCGAUGUUUCAGCUAUAAAUACAUACUUGCAUCGGCUGAGCCAUGAUCAAAAGAUGUGGCAAGACAUACCAAAGGCAGACCAGAAGGCACAGCAGUUUGCCUUGCCAAUGGUACAGUAAAGAUGCACGAGCACAUCAAUGACCUGGACAGAUAACGUCUCAAGAUACAGCCCAGCUUCCUGGAACUAUGCAAAGAGUCGGAUCAGAAAAUCAUCCUGCUACCAUUGUACUAAGAAGGUGAAUGUUUUCUCUCCAUCAAGUAGAGUAUAAUGGAUUAUACUGUCUGCACUUAGACAUUUUUAUAGAUGUGAAUUUGAAAGCACACAAAUGCACUUUUUGUUCCUGCUAGUCAGGAGUGAUCCACAAGGUUCCAAAGUUUGCUGUGUGUAGUCAGAACCUUUUUAAAACAGAAUGUGUUAGUCACCAGGGACUGAGCUCUAUGCACAACAGUACAUAGCAAAAGAUAUUUUGGGAAUACAUAUCAACUAAAUAUGACAAUGCGAGGACAAAUAUUUUUCCACACUAUAUCAAAUUUGAAACUGAAUAAGUAAACAUGUUAUCUCAUGGAAACAAACUUCAGUUGAAUGUUUUAUACUUCACUGUCCUUGCUAACAAAAGGUAAAGCAAUAAUAGGCAGAAAAAUAAAAAUAAUUAAAUCAUUUGUAAUAUUCAGUAAAAGUCAUUUCAAUUCCGGUCAGUGGUUCACAUUAACCCUUACUCAAUCUGAAAGUUUUGGCCAUUUCUGUUUUUUCUUCUCUGGUUUCCACAUAUUUAUUUUGAGAAAAAAAAAAGUUAUCUUCAUAUACAGUUUUGACCUAUGCCUUUCAUUCCAGCUUUACUCUUUUCUCAUCAAGUCCCAACUGUCCUAUUACUUUUCCAUGUUGAUUUUGCCAUCCAGCAGCAGGUGAAAAAAACAGUUUACACUGGUGAUUACCAUUUGAAAAGUAACAUUCAUGCUGGAAAAGAAAAACAUCAGCUUUUGCUAAAAUCCACAAUACUGACUUCCAAAGAAACUGCAGACACCAAGACCAACACAAAUAGGAAUUUCACAGUAAAGGCAUAUAACACAUAUACCCUCACAGGGUCUUCAGGUCCAGUAGGAUGUCUUUGACCACGGAGUUGCAAUGGUUUCAAACCCUCGGCUUCUGUAAUGUCUCUUCUAGCUGGCAAUGCAACACACCAACACUGGAUCACAAGUCAAACUUGGAGACCAGGACUGGAAAGAAGGUACAGUGCAUAAGAUGCUCAUCUCCCUUUCAGGGGCAUGUAAAAGGGGAGGUGACUCUGUGCCCACCCCACUCAGCGUAGGAGCCACAGUGGAGCUGCACAGCAGGAUUAGAGUCUGGUCCUACUACUAGGAGGGUCUGCAGAAGGCUGAGUAGCUUGAGCAUCUUCUAUGACGUCUUUGAUUACUACAACCAGAGUUCACAGAUCUCACAGGGGUUUCCUACUCCUAGUGUCUGCUCUCUUGUGUAGGUCAAGUAUGUUCAAGACCGUCCUGUCACACUGGAUUUUGGAAACUGCUCUUGGCAUCGACCUCAGGGUCAGCGCAGUGAUGCUUUUCAUUCCAGUUCCCUAGCUGGCUGCAUCUGGCUCCAGCACUCACUCCAACACGGGGACCACAUGCCCUGACCCCCCGCUUUUUCCAAAUGUGUUUUUUGAAAAAUCACAUCUAUGAUGCUACAGGCACAUCUAGACAGGUUAGCAUGGGACUUACAGUCAGGAUAAGCCUUUCUACGCAAUCAGAUCUUGGUGCAGUUAAGAAGCUACUCAACUACAGUAAGUGACAGUAUCAGAGCUUAAAAUCCACUUUGGGGCUAGAAUGCAAUAAAUUAUGCUAUUCUGUUCUGGAUUGUGUUGAAAUGGGCUACAAAUGUCUAUUUACACUGUGCAAGCUGCAGGAUGGUGACAGAUGAGGGAGGUGCAGCAACUACACAGUUUGUAUGUCUCUCCCUCCAGCUAUAAUGUAAGAAGCCACUCUCGCCCCAAACUUAUCUCAGCACAGGUACUUUCAAGACCCAUCUACAACUACAACAGGUGACUCACAGUAUUGGAAAUUAUCUUGAAACCAUUCUUGUACCCUUUGAAUUGUACCCUUUGUGAAAUAAGGCACCUUCUACUCAAAGAUGUUUCCCCAUAUGCACUGUAAGUCCAUCACCUUGCUCACAGCUUUCUGUAGUGCAUUCCCAGCACAAGAAGAAUCCAUAUUUUCUUGCACAGGGUAAAAGCAAUUGAGCAUUUAUAGCCUGCAAAUGAGAUUCAAAUGCUGGACCUUUCUCAGCCACUAUUAAUCACUGCUGAUUCUCACUGCCAGUUAGCUAAAUCUUGGAUUUUUCUCGUGUGAUAAAAAUCAAAAUGAAUAUGUCCUGCUCCUAAAUUGUAACACGUUCCCAGCAGCAGUGUGACAGAACUCAGCUGAUAUCCCACGUGAACGUGAAAAACAUUAGUCAUCUUUCAAGUGCUAGCACUUAAAAACUAAUUAGAGUCCCUGAGCAGAAAAACAUUUUAUAUAGCUUUUUAAUCAAUGGGACUACAAGAGAAAAAAUAACGAAGUGAUAGCAGCAGGCUGCAGUUUUCAUGUUUAGAGAAGGGAGAUAUUUACAGAGUCAACACUCAAACUCCUGUUUUCUCAAUACUAUUAUCAGGGCCAUGUCACUCCUUAGCAGCACCACGACAGAUGAUGGUUGUUCUUGACUUGCUGGAAGCCAAAAAGACCAAAGCUCUUCCCAAGGAGCUCUCAGCUCUAUAGAGCUUUCUAAACUGAAAUAUUUCCAUGUCCCCCACAGGCUCCUUGCACACUUGCUGUGUUAUUUACCCAUCUCUAUUUAAAUAAUAAAUCUCUCAGGGUAGGAGCUGUCUCUCAUGGCAUGCUAGCACAGAACUUUGCUUUUGAUCUCAUUUGAAGCUUUCAUCUGCUACUGUAAGACAACUGAUAACAGCUACCUACAAUAUAGAUGCUUUGUGGUCUCAUGAAUGAUGACCUGACUAGAAGAUUACUGUUUCAGAUGUCUCAGUUUGUUUCUUGUUUAGUUAUGGAUUGAAAAUACUUGUGCUCAAAGAGAAGCAAUCAAGAACGACUAGUUUUUCUUUGGAGGAACAGAUGACUAAAAUUUAUUUCAACUCAAGUUUUUAUUGUUGGCUAUAGUUCACAGAACCUUACACAGAGGCACAGUUUUUUGGUUUAUUCAAGUAACAGAUAAUUAAACAUAGUACCAGGCAAACCUGGGGAACUGGGAAUAUUUACAGAGAAUUGCUCCAAAAUACUUCUGCUGAAAGUCAGGCAGAAAACAUCUUUCACUUUUUUGUUUCUGACCCAUUGACUCAAUCAAUACACUGAGCAAUUUAAAAAGUAACUGAUGCCAGCAUUUGUGGGUACAUACAG